rnacentral:misc_RNA from 1 species
UCAAACUUGGUCAUUUAGAGGAAGUAAAAGUCGUAACAAGGUCUCCGUUGGUGAACCAGCGGAGGGAUCAUUACCGAGUUUACAACUCCCAAACCCCUGUGAACAUACCUAUCGUUGCUUCGGCGGGAUCGUCCCAGACUCUCGGGUCCGGACCCAGGCGCCCGCCGGAGGACCCAAACUCUUGUUUUAUUAAGUAUCUUCUGAGUAAACAAGCAAAUAAAUUAAAACUUUCAACAACGGAUCUCUUGGUUCUGGCAUCGAUGAAGAACGCAGC